rnacentral:rRNA from 1 species
UACGGAGGGUGCAAGCGUUGUUCGGAAUAAUUGGGAGUAAAGGGUGUGUAGGCGGCUUGGGAAGUGAGUUGUGAAAGCCCGGGGCCCAACCCCGGAAUUGCAUCUGAAACUGCCUGGCUAGAGUCCCGGAGAGGAAGGCAGAAUUCCCGGUGUAGGGGUGAAAUCCGUAGAUAUCGGGAGGAAUACCAGCGGCGAAGGCGGCCUUCUGGACGGUGACUGACGCUGAGACGCGAAAGCGUGGGGAGCAAACAGG